UACGUAUUGAUGUAUAGAGCAUAAAAAGCUUUGAUCUUUUAAGAAAUGGUGCAAUUCCGUUGUAUGUAA
rnacentral:tRNA from 1 species